UUCAAACACUCUUCCCGCCUUGAGUCAGCAGCGGAGGGAGCAACGACAGAUGGAGCACAUAGGGCUCUCUCUUUGUGCAUGGUCCAACACCAUUCAAAACUAUUGGCACCCUAGCCAUGGGUUAUUUAACUUUACAAUCCUUUCCACAGCCCUGCACGGAGUUAUGGACUUGGACCUCAAAAUCCCUCUGUACAUCAAUGCUGUUCAGGGUCCUGCUAUUAACUGGAUACUUUGACGUCCCAAAGUACAACAGCUCACACUUGCCUGGAUUAAACUUAAUUGUCCCCCCACAUCAAUAACUGAUCAAUAUCCUUCUGUAUCCUUUGACAGCUUCAUCACUAUCUGUACCCUCAGCGAUGGCAACCUCGCCAACAGUCUGUCUGUCUUUUUUGGUAUUUUUAGUGUGUUUUGAAAAGUAUGUGUUAAUGUUCUCUGGUUUGUUUUAUGGGUGGGGGGGGUCAUGGGAAGCUUUUUUCUCAAUCUCUUACCUUGCCAGAGAUGCAAUUGUUUUUCGGAUCGUAUCUCCGGUCGCUCUGCGGCCCAACCUCACGGAGCUGGUGGCCUUGCUCGGGACUGACAUUGAGCUCCACCGAGGGGCCGUGGACUUACCAUCAGAGCAUGUGAUCCCUUGCCCCGGAUCGACGGUCUGCGGAUUUCAACAUCGAGGAGUUCGCAUGAUGUCGAGGCAGAUGUCGGGAAGCUCCAAGUUGCAGAAGGUUCAACCAGCCCCGACCCGGGGUCUGAUCUGAGAUCCCCCCCCCCACCGAUGCGGGAGCUUGAUCGCCGCAACGCAGAGGGCCCAACUGCCGGCUAUGGGAGCUAAGAUCGUCCCGUCACUGGAAGGCUCGAGGCCCCUGACCGUGGGAGAACAAAGAAGGGAAGAGAUUGAACUUUUUUUUCGCCUUCCAUCACAGUGAGGAAUGUGAAGGAGUCACUGUGGUGGAUGCUUAGGUUACAAUGUAUUUUGUGUGUUUUGUUGCUUUUUAUUGGUAUGACUGUAUGGCAAAUCAAAUUCCUCGUAUGUUGCAAAACAAAUUUGGCUAAUAAAGUAUGAUUAUGGUUAUGAACUCCA